rnacentral:lncRNA from 1 species
AUUGCUUGCCAUCAUGAGCAGAAGCAAGCGUGACAACAAUUUUUAUAGUUUUUUUUUAAUUAGAAUUUAUUUCAGAUGUUUUGUUCAUGAUACUAUCCUUCAGGGUUAUGUGCUUAUCAAUGAAAUAACCCCAGAGGAGUGAGGGAAAAUAACUUGUAGCCAGUUAUAUUCAGGAAUAACUACUGUAAAUGAUGAACGUGUUAGGAGACCUCCAAUAUUUGCUACUUGCCAAUCCUAAUUUAGUUACAAGAAUUGGUAGGCAAUCCUACUUAAUUUUGGCAAAAGCCCCGUCAUCUAAAUGGCAGAAUAACUCAGAGCAUGUCUUUGAAGAUGCUGGGCGUCUACCACCACCUUAUGUCCCCACCCUACCCAACAAAAAUAAGUAAAAAGAAUAUGGUGUAUUCUACAAAUUUGUGGCAUGCUCAAAGUUUAUGAUCACAUAAAGGCAAGAGGAUACUUCAUGAAUAAUACAUUUCAAUGCAAAUAAACAGAUGGUUCACUUCUACUAGCUAUGAGCCUGUUUUUGUAUACACUGAGUUAAUCUACUCAGGCUGUAGGUCCCAGCAAUGUUCUAGAGUCUGGUCUUUCCCUUUCCUGCAGCUUCGGGUCCUUGGACCUUUCCUGUUUCCUAUUACUUGGAGUGUCUGUCAGUUGAGCACCAGUUGUUCUGGUGUUUCAUUUGAUUCUACUUGUAGCAUAAUCAUUUAUACGAGCUAUUGGGAGGUUCCAAACCCUACCUAGAUUUGUGUAGGUGAUGUAUCAAAUGAGCAAUAUACCGUUCAUCUGAAAAUAGUAGCACACAGCCAUAUAUAGGAUAUCAUUUUCUAAGGACUGUUUCUUCACAUUGAGCAGAGCAGGCAUAAAUGGUGGUUAUUUAGUCUAAGUCUUUUAUUUUUUUAUACCUGAUUUUCAACAUAACACGCAAUGUGGAUGUCGAGUAGUGUUAAGAAUGGUGCUGCUCCUGACAAGUGUAUGUUAACUGUUUACAUUUUCUAUCUGUAGAAUUAUUUCUCUAUUACUGAACUUUUCCUAAGUAAAAUGUCUUUGAAGUCUCGUUAUUUCUGAAAUACGUUGUCUGUAAUAGACCCAGGCACCUUUUAAAUUAUCUCUGGAACAAGAGGGAUUUCAUGUAAUGAACUAGGAAAUGCAUACUCACAUAAGCAACAAGGUUCUAGGCAGAAAGCCCCUUGGAAUUUGUGACCAACAGGAGCAAGAACAGGUGCGGCUCAACAUGCAAUGUCUGAAAAUUUGCUUGGCAUUUUAUUCAUAUAUUUAGUGCAAAAUUAUUUUUGAGUGAGAUAUUUUACAUCACUGUUAAUGUGCAAUAUUUAAGAUUAAAAUACAUUAGCUUUUUUAUAUACUUUGAAGUAGCAAGUUUGUUUUCGAUGGCUUAGAGUCAUGAUUUCCAGCUUCCCAGCCUUUUUAUCAGUCCCUUUUCUAAUACAACAAGGUGCAUUAAUUUGAUUAGGCAAAUUAGAGUUCUAAGACACUUCUUGAAUUGUAGACAGAAAAUAUUGGAUUCACAAUUUCAGCAGAAAUUUGAGAAUGAGUGUGUUUAUAUUAAUUUCACAAUUAGCUGUAUUUUCUGUAGCAUAGAUUAUGUCACUGUUGCACUUUCACAGCAGACAUGCUUUCAGAAGGUUCUCAUAUUUUAUGUUUGAUUGCUGAUAAGCCAUCUCUAUUGAUACAGAUUUUGGUUAAGUAAGGAAAACCAGGUGUGUGUCUGUAUCAUUUAUUGUAAAUGCCAGCUGCCACUUGCCAACCAUCAUGUUCAGUUCAAUUCAAAGAAAACAAACUCUCAUUACUUAGUGUAAACUAAAAUACUUAACAAAUUAUAUCCUAAAAACAAGGUCUCUUUGUUAAAUGUUGCAUGCCCUAGGUUUUAAAUUACUACAUCCAAAUACAGUUUUCGUCUUAAAUUUGUUAAGCUAAAUAUAUGUUGGUUCUUUUUAUUUUGGAAUCCUUUAAGCAUCUUAAACAUUUUUUUUUUGAAGAGAAGUUACAAAUAACAUUUCUAUCAGGUAGUACUUGUAUGAAACCACCUUUCUUAUUCUAUAAUUUUGAUUUUUCAAUUUUAUAUACUUAAUAUACUCACUGUCUUACUAUCAGAAAGUUAUUUUGACCAAGAUUUUUAUUAUCUUCAUAGAUUCAGAAAGAGAUGCUAAUUCUGUACCAAUGUCUUCCUGGUUACUAUUCUCUUCCCUCUAAUAUAUACUGGCCAUUUGUAAAACCAUUGUGUUGUUGGGAUCACUUAGUUAUACUAUACGCAGAUAGAGCAUCUCAACUCUGUCAUAGUGUUUGCUGAACAGUUUUCAGUGUCAUGCACCUUUGGCUGCUAAUUGUUCCUGACGUGCACUCUUCCGAGUUGGUAAAGGCACAGUGUGUUCAUGCCAGACUUCUAAGAGAAACACCAGCCUCUUAAAUCAGAAGCCUACACACAACCCCCUUAACAAUCCAAAGAAGCUUGAUGGUGUGCAAAGAAGCAUCCUGCCAGCCUUGUCAUUGUUCUGUUCUAUGCUAAUCCUGCUGUGUUGUCUAAAAGAUGGAGGGAAGAGGACAUCAGUGUCUGAUAGUGAAAUCAUCAGCAGGAAAGUGAAGCUCUUUCCUUGGUUACAGAUAAGACUUGGUUUACACUAUUGGCCAGUAUCUGCUAAACAUAUGAAGACUUAACUAUUCAGUGUUGCCUAGGCAUUCGCCUGCACAACAUUUUGAGGUUAGAACAUAGAAUAUUUUCAGAAAUACUGUUGUAGUUUGUGAGUGUUGUUCAUUAGUUACACAUUAGCUAUAGAGUGGAUGCAUGAAGCCCCAUGACACCAGUAAACUUCUCUUACCAGUAGGUAAACCAAACACCAUUCUGUCAUUAGCAGCCCUCUUAAAUGUUGCCUCUCCGUAUCCUGUUGCAUUUUUGUGUGCAUUGUGUUUCUACUGAUCUCUCUUAGGUUUUUACGGAAUCAAAGGAAACUAAUUUUUCCUUAAUAGCAAGAAAGAUGAAGAGGUAAAGGGCAUUGAAGCAGAAAUGUAUAGUUUGGGGUACGAUUAGAAAACUCGUAAGGAAAACAGAAGUCCUAAUUUCAAACUGACUGCUCUUCGUUAAGUGCUCUUAAGGAGAGUCUAGUAACAGUAACACUUUCUGGCCAUUUCUAGUUUAGAUUCUCUUCGUUACUGAAACUUUUGAGAAAUAUUACCUGUGGAUUAAUUUUGCACAAUGUUCUAUUCUCAUAAUGACUUACAAAUUAAACUAGGUUUUUAUUGAACUACCUCACACUAAUUUUCUAUGCUUUCCCAAGUAAGCUGUUGCCCUGUUAGAUCUUUACUGAGUGAAUUAUAAAUGUGUGUUAAAUACUUUCUAGCCAAUGUUGACACAAUACCAGUAAGUAUGUAAAGUAUAUACCUUACAUCAGUAAGAGACACGUGUAAAAUCUUUGACUGUAUGUCUUGCAAAAUUGUGCUCGUUGACAUUAUUACUGUUUUUGUAAGUAGAAACCUGCUCGUGAUAUCGGUCCAUUUACAUUUUACAAAAGGAGUAAAUCUUAGUAAAAAUUUUACGAAGAAAUAAAUUACUUUUGUAGGCCCAAUAUUUGGUAUAUUUUUGAGAAGCUGUUAAUCUUUUAGCUGAAUAAUGAAGUUAGACUGAAUUACGUGUCUCCCUGGACUGUGACAUCUAUUUUCUCAUUACAGUUUAUCCUGGUCAGCAGGGUGUCACACCUGGAAACCUGAGUAUGAUAGCUGACAUUUGCUUUUCUCCCUCUGCGAUGUCAUUCCUCCUCCAUUCCUCUCCUUCCCUGUGUUCCGUUCCCUCUCCUUUCCUCUAGACAAAACAAAAUGGGGCACUUUUUAGGGAAUGCUGAGAUCAUUAUUGUGGUUUUUCAUCAUUCAUGCCCUAGUCAUUAAACAUGCACCACUGGAAUGUAAACAAUGUUAUCUAGUAUGUCAAUUGGUUAUAAUAUUUUAAAUAAAAAAGAAAAAAGUGGUAUGAAAAUUAUG